CUCAGCACGUUUCGCACAAAGCACGCAGGUCCAACUGAAAAGCUUUUGGUUAGUUCGCUCGCCGGUCCGUUGGAAAUAAUCGCGCGUGCACCCACAAGGCCACAAGACUACAAGAGGCGUGGCCGGCGCACCGAGCACCAGUACCACGCGGCCGUUAAUGCGGAUCCAUGACCACUGCCCAAGUUGCACGCUGCCACAACCGACCGAGCGCCGCUGCCCACACCACAACGCAAGCGUCCAACGCCGGGCACCACCACCACCUACCACCCACCAGCCGAGCCGAAACUGAGAGAGAGGAGCGUGCACGCUGCCCAUGCUCGCGCUCGCCCCUAACCUUCCAGCCUUCCUUCCUUUCCUGGGUCACGAUCCGGGCAUGUGCGCCGGAGCUGUGGUGCACACAAGCAAAGCAAAAUCCAAGGAACACUCGCCCCCAGGGGGCGUCCGUACCGCCCCGCCCGCUUGGCAGCUCGCACCCCAGCCACAGCCAGCCAGUGGGCGCGCGCGCGCGUGCCGUGCCGACGUCCCCCACCGCGCGCGCAGCCGAGGAGGACCACCGCUUCUCGCCCUGUAGCGUGCGUACCCGGGCGGGGCGAGCAAGUCAUUGGCGUGGCGGCCAGCGACACGGCGGCUGCUGCUGCUGCGGCGUGCGCCGUGACAAAAUAGCGGGCCGCGACAAGGGGGAGACUGGGGGAGAGGGGAGACGGUGACCCACCGUGGUGGAUGCGGACGACGCCGACGCCGAGUUAUUGCUCAGGGCGCGGACAGAUCGGCUAGGCGGCUCGAACGAAACGAAAGCCGGGGGGCGUGGGGAAUUGCUAUCGCGAGGAGGCGGGAGGAGGCCCAUGCGCGGAGACGUGUCUCUCGAUCGGCUGGGCUCUCGCCUCUCGGUCUCUCGGGUCCCCGGCCUCACGUAUGAUCGCGGAAGCGGUGGGUGCUGGAACAGGAAAUUGGGAGACGACGCUGCGGUGCGGUACUGCGGGCAGAGGAACGCAGCUUCUUUCCCUGUUCUUCCCGAUUGUGGGAAGAAAACCAAAAAACCAUCGUACGUGCGAGGGACAUGUUCUUCCCGCACUGUCCGAGCUGAAUUUCCAAGGGUGAAAGGCGCUGGCAAUUAGUUUUCCUCGCACGUUGGCAGGCCACCCUUUCGGGUGAGUAGUCGCUUCCGAGGAAACAAUUGCGACAGCAAUGCCUCAUGGCUAAUUGGUCACGUCAAGUGUUCCAGCUGCGGCAUGUCUGGAUGCGCUUGUCGUGACACCCUGCUCUCGGCCAUGAGCCUCAAGCAUGCAUGGCUUAACAUUUUCCUCGUGUUGGGUGGCUUCUGGCAUGCACCAUGUAAGUACAUGUACUAGAGAGCUACCACAUGAUUGGGAGCUGGGCAGGUGGGCAGUGGGCUUGACCUUGAUAUUGUGGGAGAUUAUGAAAUCCCGCUGACUUUUGUUUGAACCACCACAGUUUCAUGCAAGGCACCACCGCUCGGUCCACCCGUGGUUAGGAAUAAUUUUUUGCCCCCAAACAAUGUUUCCAGUGAGCUGCCUAGACUGAAUCGAGACUGCCAUGUCUGCGUUCUUAUCCAUUCAGAUCCAAGCAUUAUGCUACGGGUAGAGUGUGAGCUAAGCUACGGGUAGAGUGGGAUGAUUCUUGUCGCCCCCCAACUUCUCACCCUGUCUGAGCUAAGCUGUCUUGAAGAAAGGUCAUACAAGAGGACAAAAGAGGAGUGUGAAGACCAAACAAAUUGGAACACAUGGAUUCCAAUCUGAAAGCAAUAAGACAAGAGGCCUACAAUUAUUUGCAGCUGCAAAAGGAGAGGCUAAGAUACAUGGAACAAAGACAAAAACUAUGAGACACGCCUGACAACUGCAUUUCUGCUGAGUACACCUUGUAUGAUUGGCUAAAGAAUCAUUGCACGCACGUUAAAAACUGGUGCAAAUGUCAAUCUGUGGGAAAAAGGCAGAACAUUAUAUACGUCAUGCUUUAGCCUGAAAAUGAGAGAACCUGGAAGUGCCAUGGCGGCACCACUAAUGAUCCUAACGAAUAUAUAUGCAGAUCUGUAGUGCUAUCUCCAAUAUGUUUGGUUCCUUUCAUUCGACCAUGAUGGACAAGCUCAUGUACCUUUUGUUUGUAUCACCAUUUGAGCUGCUAUGAAAUCAUCAAAGUUCUUUCUGGUUUA